rnacentral:rRNA from 1 species
GAUCCUGGCUCAGGAUGAACGCUAGCUACAGGCUUAACACAUGCAAGUCGAGGGGCAUCAGUUUGGUUUGCUUGCAAACCAAAGCUGGCGACCGGCGCACGGGUGAGUAACACGUAUCCAACCUGCCUCAUACUCGGGGAUAGCCUUUCGAAGAAAGAUUAAUAUCCGAUAGCNUAUAUUUCCCGCAUGGGUUUUAUAUUAAAGAAAUUCGGUAUGAGAUGGGGAUGCGUUCCAUUAGUUUGUUUGGGGGGGG